GACGAACGCUGGCGGCGUGCCUAAUACAUGCAAGUAGAACGCACAGUUUAUACCGUAGCUUGCUCCACCAUAGACUGUGAGUUGCGAACGGGUGAGUCACGCGUAGGUAACCUGCCUGGUAGCGGGGGAUAACUAUUGGAAACGAUAGCUAAUACCGCAUAAUAUUGAUUAUUGCAUGAUAAUUGAUUGAAAGAUGCUAUUGCAUCACUACCAGAUGGACCUGCGUUGUAUUAGCUAGUAGGUGAGGUAACGGCUCACCUAGGCGACGAUACAUAGCCGACCUGGGAGGGUGAUCGGCCACACUGGGACUGAGACACGGCCCAGACUCCUACGGGAGGCAGCAGUAGGGAAUCUUCGGCAAUGGACGAGAGUCUGACCGAGCAACGCCGCGUGAGUGAAGAAGGGUGUCGGAUCGUAAAGCUCUGUUGUAAGAGAAGAACGGGUGUGAGAGUGGAAAGUUCACACUGUGACGGUAUCUUACCAGAAAGGGACGGCUAACUACGUG
rnacentral:rRNA from 1 species